rnacentral:rRNA from 1 species
AGUGGCGACCGGGUGAGUAACACGUGACUAACCUACCAGAGUGGGGGAUAACCUCGGGGAACCGGGGCUAAUACCGCAUAACACCCCGCUUUGCGGGAUCAAAGGAGCAAUUCGCUCAAGGAGGGGGUCGCGGCUGAUUAGCUAGUUGGUGAGGUAACGGCCCACCAAGGCGAAGAUCAGUAGCCGGCCUGAGAGGGCGCACGGCCACACUGGAACUGAAACACGGUCCAGACUCCUACGGGAGGCAGCAGUGGGGAAUUUUGCGCAAUGGGGGAAACCCUGACGCAGCAACGCCGCGUGGAGGAUGAAGUCCCUUGGGAUGUAAACUCCUUUCGAUCGGGACGAUAAUGACGGUACCGGAAGAAGAAGCACCGGCUAACUCUGUGCCAGCAGCCGCGGUAAUACAGAGGGUGCAAGCGUUGUUCGGAAUUAUUGGGCGUAAAGGGCGCGUAGGCGGUGCGGUAAGUCUGUGGUGAAAUCUCUGGGCUCAACUCAGAGUCUGCCAUAGA